UGUUGCAACAUGUACAGUGUAGGACAAGGGCUUGUUAACCAUAAGCAUCUCUCCAGUUGGCAGGCAGCCUGCAGCAGCACUUCUAACAGAUGUUUCUGCUUUAUAGAUCAAUACAAGAGGAGCUCUUGCCUUGUCCAGGAUGGAAACAAAUGCCAGCACAGCGUUCCAGUGACAACUACUGUGACACAAGGAGGCUGAUCAGAGAUGCCAUGCUUUAUGGUCACCGCCACCAAUGAAAAAUAAAGUGAUAUUCAAAGAGG